rnacentral:rRNA from 1 species
GACGGGGCCGCACAAGCGGAGGAACAUGUGGUUUAAUCGAUGAUACGCGAGGAACCUUACCUGGGCUUAAAUGUAGAGUGCAUUUUUAGAGAUAGAAAUUCCCUUCGGGGCUUUUCUGCAAGGUGCUGCAUGGUUGUCGUCAGCUCGUGCCGUGAGGUGUCGGGUUAAGUCCCAUAACGAGCGCAACCCUUAUCGUUAGUUGCCAGCUGGUAAAGCAGGGGACUCUAGCGAAACUGCCACCGUAAGGUGAGAGGAAGGUGGGGAUGACGUCAAAUCAGCACGGCCCUUAUGUCCAGGGCUACACACGUGUUACAAUGGCCGGCACAGAGGGCAGCUACCUGGUGACAGGAUGCUAAUCUCGAAAACCGGUCUCAGUUCGGAUUGCAGGCUGCAAUUCGCCUGCAUGAAGCCGGAAUCGCUAGUAAUCGCGGAUCAGCAUGCCGCGGUGAAUACGUUCCCGGGCCUU